rnacentral:rRNA from 1 species
GAUGAACGCUGGCGGCGUGCCUAAUACAUGCAAGUCGAGCGAACGGACGAGAAGCUUGCUUCUCUGAUGUUAGCGGCGGACGGGUGAGUAACACGUGGAUAACCUACCUAUAAGACUGGGAUAACUUCGGGAAACCGGAGCUAAUACCGGAUAAUAUUUUGAACCGCAUGGUUCAAAAGUGAAAGACGGUCUUGCUGUCACUUAUAGAUGGAUCCGCGCUGCAUUAGCUAGUUGGUAAGGUAACGGCUUACCAAGGCAACGAUGCAUAGCCGACCUGAGAGGGUGAUCGGCCACACUGGAACUGAGACACGGUCCAGACUCCUACGGGAGGCAGCAGUAGGGAAUCUUCCGCAAUGGGCGAAAGCCUGACGGAGCAACGCCGCGUGAGUGAUGAAGGUCUUCGGAUCGUAAAACUCUGUUAUUAGGGAAGAACAUAUGUGUAAGUAACUGUGCACAUCUUGACGGUACCUAAUCAGAAAGCCACGGCUAACUACGUGCCAGCAGCCGCGGUAAUACGUAGGUGGCAAGCGUUAUCCGGAAUUAUUGGGCGUAAAAGCGCGCGUAGGCGGUUUUUUAAGUCUGAUGUGAAAGCCCGCGGCUCAACCGUGGAGGGUCAUUGGAAACUGGAAAACUUGAGUGCAGAAGAGGAAAGUGGAAUUCCAUGUGUAGCGGUGAAAUGCGCAGAGAUAUGGAGGAACACCAGUGGCGAAGGCGACUUUCUGGUCUGUAACUGACGCUGAUGUGCGAAAGCGUGGGGAUCAAACAGGAUUAGAUACCCUGGUAGUCCACGCCGUAAACGAUGAGUGCUAAGUGUUAGGGGGUUUCCGCCCCUUAGUGCUGCAGCUAACGCAUUAAGCACUCCGCCUGGGGAGUACGACCGCAAGGUUGAAACUCAAAGGAAUUGACGGGGACCCGCACAAGCGGUGGAGCAUGUGGUUUAAUUCGAAGCAACGCGAAGAACCUUACCAAAUCUUGACAUCCUUUGACAACUCUAGAGAUAGAGCUUUCCCCUUCGGGGGACAAAGUGACAGGUGGUGCAUGGUUGUCGUCAGCUCGUGUCGUGAGAUGUUGGGUUAAGUCCCGCAACGAGCGCAACCCUUAAGCUUAGUUGCCAUCAUUAAGUUGGGCACUCUAAGUUGACUGCCGGUGACAAACCGGAGGAAGGUGGGGAUGACGUCAAAUCAUCAUGCCCCUUAUGAUUUGGGCUACACACGUGCUACAAUGGACAAUACAAAGGGCAGCGAAACCGUGAGGUCAAGCAAAUCCCAUAAAGUUGUUCUCAGUUCGGAUCGUAGUCUGCAACUCGACUACAUGAAGCUGGAAUCGCUAGUAAUCGUAGAUCAGCAUGCUACGGUGAAUACGUUCCCGGGUCU